AUGGGGAUAAAGAUGCCGCGGCAGUGCGGCCGCGAAAGCUUCGCGGCGGCGGCGUCGCUGGCUCUGCUUCUCCUCCUCGCCGCGCCGCCGCGGGGAUGCGUCGCGCAGAGCGGCGGAGUGCUCACGAGGGGGAGCUUCCCCGACGGGUUCGUCUUCGGCACAGCAUCCUCCGCGUACCAGUAUGAGGGGGCGGUGAAGGCGGACGGGAGAGGGCAGACCAUCUGGGACACCUUCGCGCACACCUUCGGAAAGAUCAGCGACUUCAGCAAUGCCGACAUCACAGUAGAUCAAUACCAUCGUUUCGAGGAGGACAUACAGCUCAUGGCGGACAUGGGAAUGGACGCAUAUCGGUUCUCCAUCGCGUGGGCAAGAAUCCUCCCAAAUGGUGUUGGUCAGGUUAAUCAGGCUGGCAUCGACCAUUACAACAAACUGAUCAAUGCCCUUCUUGCUAAAGGAAUUCAACCAUAUGUGACCCUGUUCCACUGGGACCUCCCCCAGGCCCUAGAGGACAAGUACAACGGGUGGCUGGACAGGCAGAUAGUCAACGACUUCGUGGCUUACGCCGAGACAUGCUUCGCGGCGUUCGGCGACAGGGUGAAGCAUUGGAUCACGGUGAACGAGCCGCACAAUGUGGCCGUCAAUGGCUACGAUGUCGGGAUCCAGGCUCCUGGUCGCUGCUCCCUGCUGCUCCACCUCUACUGCAAAUCCGGCAACUCCGGCACCGAGCCCUACAUCGUCGCCCACAACUUCAUCCUGGCCCACGCCGCCGUCUCCCAAUUGUACAGGAGGAAGUACAAGGCGGCGCAGAAUGGGCAGCUCGGGAUGGCGUUCGACGUGGUGUGGUAUGAGCCGAUGUCAGAUGCCGCUGUUGAUGUGGAGGCGGCCAAGAGGGCGCAGGAGUUCCAGUUGGGGUGGUUCGCGGACCCCUUCUUCUUCGGCGACUACCCGACCACCAUGAGGAAGCGAGUAGGGGAGAGGCUGCCGAGGUUCACAACGGAGGAGUCCGCGCUCGUUAAGGGGACACUCGACUUCGUGGGUAUCAACCACUACACCACCUAUUACACCAAGCAGAACGACACGAACAUCAUCGCCCUGCUUCUCAACAACACCUUGGCAGACACCGGGAGCAUCAGCCUACCCUUCAAGAACGGCAAACCGAUUGGGGAUAGGGCGAAUUCGAUAUGGCUGUACAUCGUGCCCAGAGGGAUGAGGAGCGUGAUGGAGUAUGUCAAGGACAGGUACAACCGCCCGCCGGUGUACAUCACCGAAAACGGAAUGGAUGACAGCAACAGCCCCUUCAUUUUACGCAAGGACGCCCUCCAGGACACCAAGAGGAUCAAGUACCACAACGACUACCUCGCCAAUCUGGCCGCUUCCAUCAAGGAGGACGGGUGCGACGUGCGUGGGUACUUCGCGUGGUCUCUGCUGGACAACUGGGAGUGGGCGGCCGGGUACACGUCCAGGUUCGGGCUCUACUUCGUGGACUACAACGAUAAGCUCAAGAGAUACCCCAAGAGCUCGGUGCAGUGGUUCAAGAGCCUCCUCGGCUCAAGUUGA
rnacentral:rRNA from 1 species